rnacentral:rRNA from 1 species
UAUUGCGCAAUGGGGGAAACCCUGACGCAGCAACGCCGCGUGAGUGAGGAAGGUCUUCGGAUUGUAAAACUCUUUUAUUUGGGAAAAAUGUUCUUAUGGCUAAUAUCCAUAAGGAGUGAUGGUACCAAAGGAAUAAGCACCGGCUAACUUCGUGCCAGCAGCCGCGGUAAUACGAAGGGUGCAAGCGUUGUUCGGAAUCAUUGGGCGUAAAGCGCGCGCAGGCGGAUCAGCAAGUCAGAUGUGAAAUCUCGGAGCUCAACUCCGAAACUGCGUCUGAAACUGCUAGUCUAGAAUGUCGGAGGGGGCAGGGGAAUUUCACGUGUAGGGGUAAAAUCCGUAGAGAUGUGAAGGAACACCGGAGGCGAAGGCGCCUGCCUGGACGACUAUUGACGCUGAGGCGCGAAAGCGUGGGGAGCAAACAGG